rnacentral:rRNA from 1 species
AUGAUUUUGCUGUGCCCUUCUUCUUUUAGCAAUGGACACAAUUGUGUUCUGGGAAUGCUAUGCAGGGCUCCAGGGCUUCUUGCCCGACUUGGGAUUGAGGAUGUCAGCGGAGGUGACUCUGGUCUUGGGCACUCUAAUUUGGGGAAAAGGGCCAGAGAUGAACCAUCUUCAUCUGGUCCAAAGUCAAAGGCUUGCCGCGAGAAAAUGCGGAGGGAUAAACUGAAUGACAGGUUUCUUGAAUUAUGUUCCGUUAUGAAUUCUGGCAAGCACAGUGGCCUUGAAGAAUGUUCGGCUAGCAAUCCUGGGAAGAACGCUAAGUUGGAUAAAGCAAGUAUCUUGAGCGAUGCAACGCGUAUGUUGACACAGCUCAGAGGUGAGACCGAAAAGCUGAAGGAAUCAAAUUCGAAUCUUCGAGAGACAAUCAAGGACCUUAAGGUGGAGAAGAAUGAGCUCCGAGAUGAGAAGUUGAGCCUGAAGGCAGAAAAGGAAAGGCUGGAACAACAACUCAAAGCAGCAAGUGCUGCUCCUACAGGAUUUGCCCCUCAUAUGCCUUAUCCAGCUGCAUUCCACCCCGCUGUCUACCCUCCAUUUGCACCACCCUAUCAAGUCCCAGCCAACAAAGGAGCUCCGGUACCCGCUGCAUUCCCUGGAAUGGCGAUGUGGCACUGGUUGCCCCCAACCGCCAUGGACACAACUCAAGAUCCAAAGCUUUGGCCGCCGAAUGCUUAG